AUUGAACGCUAGCGGGAUGCUUUACACAUGCAAGUCGAACGGCAGCGCGGACUUCGGUCUGGCGGCGAGUGGCGAACGGGUGAGUAAUGUAUCGGAACGUGCCCAGUAGCGGGGGAUAACUACGCGAAGGCGUAGCUAAUACCGCAUACGCCCUACGGGGGAAAGCAGGGGAUCGUAAGAACUUGCACUAUUGGAGCGGCCGAUAUCGGAUUAGCUAGUUGGUGAGGUAACGGCUCACCAAGGCGACGAUCCGUAGCUGGUUUGAGAGGACGACCAGCCACACUGGGACUGAGACACGGCCCAGACUCCUACGGGAGGCAGCAGUGGGGAAUUUUGGACAAUGGGGGCAACCCUGAUCCAGCCAUCCCGCGUGUGCGAUGAAGGCCUUCGGGUUGUAAAGCACUUUUGGCAGGAAAGAAACGUCGCGGGCUAAUACCCCGUGGAACUGACGGUACCUGCAGAAUAAGCACCGGCUAACUACGUG
rnacentral:rRNA from 1 species